rnacentral:rRNA from 1 species
GUGGCGAACGGGUGAGUAACACGUGAGCAAUCUGCCCCUGACUCUGGGAUAAGCGUUGGAAACGACGUCUAAUACCGGAUACGAGCUGCGACCGCAUGGUCAGUAGCUGGAAAGAACUUCGGUCAGGGAUGAGCUCGCGGCCUAUCAGCUAGUUGGUGAGGUAAUGGCUCACCAAGGCGUCGACGGGUAGCCGGCCUGAGAGGGUGACCGGCCACACUGGGACUGAGACACGGCCCAGACUCCUACGGGAGGCAGCAGUGGGGAAUAUUGCACAAUGGGCGCAAGCCUGAUGCAGCAACGCCGCGUGAGGGACGACGGCCUUCGGGUUGUAAACCUCUUUUAGCAAGGAAGAAGCGAAAGUGACGGUACUUGCAGAAAAAGCGCCGGCUAACUACGUGCCAGCAGCCGCGGUAAUACGUAGGGCGCAAGCGUUAUCCGGAAUUAUUGGGCGUAAAGAGCUCGUAGGCGGUUUGUCGCGUCUGCUGUGAAAUCCCGAGGCUCAACCUCGGGUCUGCAGUGGGUACGGGCAGACUAGAGUGCGGUAGGGGAGAUUGGAAUUCCUGGUGUAGCGGUGGAAU